GUCCACGCCGUAAACGAUGGAUACUAGCUGUUGGGAGCAAUCUCAGUGGCUAAGCGAAAGUGAUAAGUAUCCCACCUGGGGAGUACGUUCGCAAGAAUGAAACUCAAAGGAAUUGACGGGGGCCCGCACAAGCGGUGGAGCAUGUGGUUUAAUUCGAUGAUACGCGAGGAACCUUACCAAGGCUUAAAUGUAGAUUGACCGUUUUGGAAACAGAACUUUCGCAAGACAAUUUACAAGGUGCUGCAUGGUUGUCGU
rnacentral:rRNA from 1 species